AUUGAACGCUGGCGGCAUGCUUUACACAUGCAAGUCGAACGGUAACAGGCCUUCGGGUGCUGACGAGUGGCGCACGGGUGAGUAAUGCAUCGGAACGUGCCCAGAGGUGGGGGAUAACGCAGCGAAAGCUGUGCUAAUACCGCAUGUGAUCUGAGGAUGAAAGCGGGGGACCAAGCAGCAAUGUUUGGCCUCGCGCCUCUGGAGCGGCCGAUGUCAGAUUAGGUAGUUGGUGGGGUAAAGGCCUACCAAGCCGACGAUCUGUAGCUGGUCUGAGAGGACAACCAGCCACACUGGGACUGAGACACGGCCCAGACUCCUACGGGAGGCAGCAGUGGGGAAUUUUGGACAAAGGGCGCAAGCCUGAUCCAGCAAUGCCGCGUGCGGGAAGAAGGCCUUCGGGUUGUAAACCGCUUUUGUACGGAACGAAAAGGCUCUGGCUAAUACCUGGGGCUGAUGACGGUACCGUAAGAAUAAGCACCGGCUAACUACGUG
rnacentral:rRNA from 1 species